UACGGGGGGAGCAAGCGUUGUUCGGAUUUACUGGGCGUAAAGGGCGCGUAGGCGGUCAGCACAAGUCAGUUGUGAAAUCUCCGGGCUUAACUCGGAAAGGUCAACUGAUACUGUGCGACUAGAGUGCAGAAGGGGCAACUGGAAUUCUCGGUGUAGCGGUGAAGUGCGUAGAUAUCGAGAGGAACACCUGCGGCGAAGGCGGGUUGCUGGGCUGACACUGACGCUGAUGCGCGAAAGCCAGGGGAGCGAACGGG
rnacentral:rRNA from 1 species